UUAAAUUGAAGAGUUUGAUCAUGGCUCAGAUUGAACGCUAGCGGCAGGCCUAACACAUGCAAGUCGAACGGUAACAG
rnacentral:rRNA from 1 species